rnacentral:rRNA from 1 species
UAGAGGAAGUAAAAGUCGUAACAAGGUUUCCGUAGGUGAACCUGCGGAAGGAUCAUUACAUUCAGUAGCUUGCUACUGUUAGGGGGGUCUAUCAGCCUGUAUAGUAUCACUACUGAUGAGCAGCACGACCCUCUGUCUGUACCCUUGUCUUUUGCGCACUCAUGUUUCCUCGGCGGGUCUACACCCGCCGGCUGGACAACUCUAUAACCUUUUUAAUUUUCAAUCAGCGUCUGAAAAACCUAAUAAUUACAACUUUCAACAACGGAUCUCUUGGUUCUGGCAUCGAUGAAGAACGCAGCGAAAUGCGAUAAGUAGUGUGAAUUGCAGAAUUCAGUGAAUCAUCGAAUCUUUGAACGCACAUUGCGCCCCUUGGUAUUCCAUGGGGCAUGCCUGUUCGAGCGUCAUUUGUACCCUCAAGCUCUGCUUGGUGUUGGGUGUUUGUCCACUCCCUAGUGUUUGGACUCGCCUCAAAGCAAUUGGCAGCCAGUGUUUUGGUAUUGAAGCGCAGCACAUUUUGCGAUUCUAGCCUAGAAUACUAGCGUCCAGUAAGCCUUUUUCCACUUUGACCUCGGAUCAGGUAUGAGCAAAUCCUGCGA